CACUUUGGGAGGCCGAGGCUGGAUUACAGGCAUGAGCCACCGUGCUUGGCCUAGGUACAGGUUUUUAAAAGCCCCACAGAAGUUUAUAAUACGUUUAAAAACCCAUAUUAAAAUUUGAAAACUUAAAAAAAAAACUAAGAAAACAAUGGCAUAUAUUCCUUUUCUUAAACCUGUGAAGUCCAUUACUUUUUGUUCUUGUUAUAUUCUGCCAAAAAUGGGAUGGGGUGGGAGAGAUGCAUAGAAAUUGUUUUAUCUGCCUUGUUAACAAAGUGAACUCAAGGACCAGCUUUUCUUUUCUUUCUUCUUUUCUUUUUUUUUUGAGACUCUGUCACCCAGGCUGGAGUGUCGUUAGGUGCAACUAACACCAGGAACAGCACCUUGAAUAUUCCUUUUUCAAGUUCCUCUUCCUCAGGAGAUAUUCAAGGUCACUUUGUCACCCAGGCUGGAGUCUACAAUGGCAGGAUCUUGGCUCACUGCAGCCUCUGCCUCCUGGGUUCAAGCAAAUUCUUGAGCCUCAGCCUCCCGAGUAGCUGAGAUUACAGGUCUGUGCCACUACACCUGGCUAAUUUUUAUAUUUUUAGUAGAGACGGGGUUUCACCAUCUUGGCCAGGCUGGUCUUGAACUCCUGAUGUCAGGUGAUCCACCCACCUCGGCCUCCCAAAGUACUGGAAUUACAGGCAUGAGUCACCCCUCCCAGGCCCCCCCCUUUUUUUUUAAUCCUAAAAAGCUUCCUAAGGGUUGGUCAGAGCAGUUAACUCCAGUGAAUACCUCUUCUAAAGACUCAGCAAAAGGGUCAUUUGUGCCUCUUUAACUGUUCUUACCAAACUGUCCUGUCUCUUUUCUGCUGCCAACUAAGCAGCUUCCUAGGGACAAAAAAAUAUACAAUAUUUUUUUUUUUCUUGCUUACAAAGCAAGAACAACCUGUAUUUUCUUUCUUCAAAAUGGUCUUGGGGAAGAAUAGGAGAGCUUCAUGAAUAAGUUACUCAAGACAACAGAUAAACACAGUAGUCAAAACUUUUUAUUGAGGAAAAAUGUGGCAUUUAUGACUUGCUUUUUAAUUCUCUUAACUGAAUUUUAAGCUGCAACGUUCAAAUUUUUCUUUGUACUUGAAAGGUCCAGUGUGCCAAUUUCAAGAAGGACAGUUUUCCAUGUGUUUGGCUAUUCAUUUCCCUCUCUCCCUCUCUCAUCUGUCUGUCUCUCACUGCCUCUGUCUCUGUCUCUCAUACACAUAUACACACACACACACACACACACACACACACACUCUCUCUCUCUCUCUCUCUCUCUCCAGUGGCUGUUAAGUUCUGAAGGACUGGGGACUGCUAGACAUAAUUGAAAGUAAGGUAACAGGCUAAGGAGAAGCUCAGUUUGAACAUUGCAAUGUAAAGUCCUCAAAGCCUGUGACUUUCAAGUAUUUCUGUUGCAUUAAUUGUAUUUUCCUGCUUAGCUGUGUUCAGACAUAGUAUUUGCAUUUCUUGGAGCUUUCAUUCCAACAGUCUAACAUUUUGAUCUUGAAAGAGUCUCAAUAAGCCUUAUUUGACCAUCUGAGGAAAAAUGUGACCAUCUGUGAAUAAUUGGCUCCUGCUUACGUGUAGCUCUCAUUACUUUACAGAUGUAUGCAUGUGUAUGUAAGACUUCAGUUCAUACAUGGCUUAAUUCUGAAAGUGUUCAGACCAUAGUACCCUUAUUUGAUUUAAAAGCAUGAAUAUAUGAGAUUUACUAGCAGUAUUAAGUAUUUGAUAGAGCUACGUGAUUUUUGGGAAGAAAUUUGUUAUAUGGUAUGUAGUGUUAAUUUGGAUAUAAUUUUUGGUAAAGGGAUGGCAGAAAACAUAGUCAAUUUUGGUUAUAAUAAACGUAACCUUAUUCUUGGCCUGCUCCAUGUGAAAUAGGGCUCAGGGAAGCUGGUCUUUUCCUUAGCGGGAUGAUUACUCCUUUGCCUUGAAACAUUUAUUGGGCCCACCAUGUAUGGAUCAGCAUGUGGUGGUAAGUCAUACUCCCAAAUCAGUGAUUCCCAAGUCUUGGCUUUGGGAACCAGUAUGCCUCGUAUUCUCUUAAAGAGCAACAAGAAUUUCUUGAAACAAAAUUAGUUCAGAAUUGAUUUAAAUUUUUUAACUUCUGGAAAUACACGAAGUUAUGUCUGAGUCAUGAGUGACAGUCAUUGAUUAAAUCAUUUCUCUGUCUCUUUUUUAGCAUUAUUGAUCACAGAGUCCGUUAUAAAAAGUGGUUGAUUCCUUUCAACAUUUAACAAUAACUUCUAAUGAAGGGUAAAAUUCCAGAUUCUCUUCAUGCGUAAACAUUUAAUGUGUCAAUCAUAGAUGAAAGGAAUCUAGUUUGAUGUUGUUUCUUUCUUUCUUUUUUUUGGAAAACACAAGUUGCUCUGGGAUGGCUUAUAUGUUGUUUUAUACCGGUUCAGGAAAUUUAUUUUUGUUUUUAUUGUAAGACCUUUUGCGGUACCAGAGAUGGCACCUUUUUUCUAGGUAAGGUGUAGGAAUUCCUCAAUGGUCUUGCUUCGUAAAAUUUAACAUAUCAGAACUGGGGAAAGAGAAAGGAGGGGGUUAUUUUUUUGCAGCAUUUUCCAGUCACAUAUCAGGGUUAUACUGAACUGCAACAAAGAUCAACUUUUAAAAAUUAGCCUUCUUAAAAUACAAAAUGAUUUAAGUAUUUUAAAGAUAAUUUAUUUGCCUUGCUCUUGCCUUCUAACAUUAGCCAUUUCAUGGAGAGGCUAAAACUUAUACUCCAAAAAAUGUGGAAGCACAUUUUAAUGGGAGUAAAAUUAAAAAAUUUUGAGAAAGGGUAAAAUCUUAUGAAUAUGCAUCUUCUUAGCUUUAUCUUCCCUUUGAUAGGUAGGCACUUAUGCUCUUCCAUCUGCUCCAUGUCAAAUAGGGCUCAGGGAAGCCAGUCAUUUCCUUAGCGAGAUGAUUACUCCUUUGCCUUGAAACAUUUAUUGGGCCCACCAUGUAUGGAUCAGUGUGUGGUAGUGAGUCAUACUCCCAAAUCAGUGAUUCCCAAGUCUUGGCUUUGGGAACCAGUAUGCCUUGUAUUCUCUUAAAAAGCAACAAUAAUUUCUUGAAACAAAAUUAGUUCAGAAUUGAUUUAAAAUAUUUCAGUGUGCCAUAUAGCUCUGUCCCUUGGUUUGGUUGGCCUUGUUUUUUCCUGUGAAGAAUGAAAGGGCAAAGGUGAUACCAAAAUGAAACAGCUUUGGAGUGAUAUCUUUAGGAGCCUGGAAGCCAUUUUUGUAAUUUUGUUGUCUAUAUAAAUGCUACCUUUGCCUGGAGGUAGUGCGCCUGUGGCUGUGUACAUCCAGAGGGCAACAGUAAUAGCCAACAACCAGACAAACUAGUGAAGUUAAUCUGUGAGUGAUGAUUUUAUGAUACUUAUAUGCAAAUUAAAGGCAGAAGUUAGUUUCUUCUCAAGAUGCCUUUUUGGCUGAACAUUACCAUUUUUCUUUCCCCAGGGUUUGAAAGAAAAGGGCCUUUUUUGGAUUUAACUAUAUUCUGUCUGCAUUCUAUUCUUCAUGCGUAGGUUUCUACUAGAACCUGUGGAGGGGGGACACCAAAUUUAGAUUGAGUCAGUCCAUGCUGAUAAGAAGCGUGAGGACCUUGUUGGACACAGAGCUUCUAGAUCUUUCCACCUGUAGCCUCUACCCUGUUCCUGCACUUUACCUGAAACUGUGCCUCUGGUCUUUAGACCAGCUGUUGGAACAUAUCACUCACCCACUCCUCUGUUAUAGCAAAGGGCCAGCUGGGAUGGUACACGCUGUGUAAUCAGACACCUUCUCGACAAGUACAGCUGAUGUUUCUCACUGUUGCCUUACCAUUCUCUGAGCCAUCUUUGAUGUUGAUUUGUAAAAAAAAACAAAAAACAAAAAAAAAACCUAGUAGCAAAACUCCUGUUAAACUCAGAGCUUGUAUGUGGUGGUCAUUCAACAUCCUUAUUUCUAGAUUUACACAAACUGUACCAACUGUAAUCUUUUUCUGGCACGCGUAUGUGGUCAGAUGCUUCAUAAACGUGAGCCAACUUGGGUUGUAAACAUUGGACAUAAUAUACAAAUUGGGGAAUUUUGGAUGACUGCAUAAUCCUGUCAUUAGAGAUUUCAUAAGACAGAAGAUAACUGUUUAUUUGUAAUUUAACACAUUUUUAGAAAAGAUGAUCUUUAAUUUCUUUCCCUCAGUUGUGUAUACAGCUAUACACCAUACUAACACCGUACUAUGUCAUAGGAACUUAAAGUUAGAUGUAUCUAAAUCCCUUCACUUUUCUAAGACUUCUCUGUGCUCCCACCCCUGAAGUCUUCAAAUCAUUUUUCAUCUGUGAAGUCACUGAGGUACUGGGCUUGACUAUAGUGGUAACAGUUAAGGGGAGUUGAACUAUUGAUCUUCCAAGAAGAAAGGGACCAGAUAGUGUUAAGAUGCUGCAGUUGUGUUACUGUGAAGAAAAGAUUCGCUUCCACUUUCAGCAGGCUAUAUAAAUAUAUAUACAUAUAUAUAUAUAUUUUCACUUUGGUAAAAAAAAGUUGAAAAAUCUGAGGAGAACAUAAUUACCUUCACAAAUUAUUUAUAGAUACACUGGGUGAGAAGCUUACUGUAGGGCAGUCACCCAAAAAAAACUAAUUUUAGUGCUUUCAAUAGUGUAAUAUUUGUAUCUAUUACCAUGGCAGCAGUGUCUGCUGCACACUGUGUCCUAUUACUGUAAAUCUCCUGGUUUAUAAUUCUUAUGGAAACUAAUUUGUUUUGUAAUGGAAUCCAGAGCAGAUAUGUAUAAUAUGAUCAGGAUUGUCCUACAGUUGUAAAUAAGAAUAGGUCCUGUUUAUUUUGACAUCUUUUUACAAAUGCAUUGUAUUAGGGUGUGAAUAUUCUGAACCAUCCUCUUGUUUAAAGUUUGGAAAUUUUUAUUGUUAAAUGUAACAUUUUAAUGGUUGUAAUAAU
rnacentral:lncRNA from 1 species